UUUAUGUUUAUAUUUAUUAUCAUUAAUAAAAAAAUUUUUAAUUAUAAAUUUAUGGUUUAAUAAAAAUAAUAAAUUAAGAAUUUUAAUUUUUUAUAAAAAAUUUAUAUAUUCAAAAAAAGAAUUGAAUCUGAUUAUGAUAAAAAUCUUUCAGUAGUUUAAAAAACUGAAAAUAAAUGGCUGUAAAAUAUUCAUAUUAAGGAAUUUUGAAAAAUAAUUUGAUAAUCCUCAAUUUUAUUUACUUUAAAAAAUUUUCUGUGUGGUUGUUUAAAAAUACUAAUAAUAGAGAAUUUUAAAUCAAAUUUUACGUAGUAUUUUAAAGGCUUUUUGAAAUGUAAUUUAAUGUUAAUAAUAAAAUUAAAAAAUAUAAUACAUAAAAGUAAUAUAUAAAUAUAUAAAUAACGUUUUAUUUUAAGUUCAUAUCGUCCGUCACUCUCUUUUA
rnacentral:rRNA from 1 species